AGAUGUGAGGGUGAUCUCAGUGUGACAUCUGUCACCCCGCUGACCACCAGGGUUGAUUCAGCGGCUGAUCUGGCUGGAUCAGUUGCUUUCCCCUCCCUCCCUCACUGCUCUAGGCGCAUCCCUCCUGAAGCUCCGUGCUCUGUCAAGGAGGACGGCCUUCCCAGGUGAUCUUCCCCAGUAGAGGAGGACCAGUCUUCAGUCAAGGGUGCACAAGCAGCUGCGCUCUCCUGCUAGAACCCCAAACAAGCACUCAAAGUAUGAGCUCCCUCUUUGGAUUUGCCUCCAGCCUCAGAUGUUCAGUUCCACUGGGACCACAGGCUUCCACACCUAG
rnacentral:snRNA from 1 species